rnacentral:lncRNA from 1 species
GCACCACUGUACUCCACCUCCACUCAUCCGGCAUCCUUUUAGACUUGAAGAUCACAUUGAACAGCCUAGAGAGCCACUCCCCUCCAGACUUACCCAUGCACUUCCAGAACUCCACUAGGAUCUCGUCAGGCCCGGUCGCUCGACCCCUACUCAUCCUACGCAACGCCUCUAAGACCUCCUCCACCCUAAUGCGCCUGCAGUACCCGAGGUCUCUAUGUUGCUCUGAAUGCC